UACGUAGGGGGGCAAGCGUUGUCCGGAAUCAUUGGGCGUAAAGAGCGCGUAGGCGGCCCAGUAAGUCCGCUCUGAAAGUCAGGGGCUCAACCCCUGAAUGCGGGUGGAUACUGCUGGGCUAGAGUCCGGAAGAGGCGAGUGGAAUUCCUGGUGUAGCGGUGAAAUGCGCAGAUAUCAGGAGGAACACCAAUAGCGAAGGCAGCUCCGCUGGGA
rnacentral:rRNA from 1 species